rnacentral:lncRNA from 10 species
GGGCGGCGGCUGCUGCAGCGGGACCCGGGAGCGGGGCCCGGCGCCGCCCGGGCCGCGGGGCGAUGUGAGCCCCAGGUGUAUCCCAGAGGGAUCCGGGUGACUUCUCUGCAGACUGUUUGCCAUGACAGCCCACCAAGGACGGGGGGAAUAAAGUGGGAACCCUUCCCCAUGCCCCUCCCACGGUCAGCUCCCCGAUGGCCUGGGUGAGGGCAGGCUGGCUGCUCUGACACCAUGGGGAGCUGCUGCAGCUGCCUGAACAGAGACAGCGUUCCAGACAACCACCCCACCAAGUUCAAGAGAAAACAAAAUUCUGUAUUUGUGAGUUAAUAUACGUAAAGUAUUUAAAAUAGUGCUUAGUGGCCAGGCACGGUGGCUCACACCUGUAA